rnacentral:rRNA from 1 species
UACAGAGGGUGCAAGCGUUAAUCGGAAUUACUGGGCGUAAAGCGUGCGUAGACGGUUGCGUAAGUCAGAUGUGAAAGCCCCGGGCUCAACCUGGGAAUUGCAUUUGAGACUGCGUAGCUAGGGUGCGGAAGAGGGAAGCGGAAUUUCCGGUGUAGCGGUGAAAUGCGUAGAUAUCGGAAGGAACACCGGUGGCGAAAGCGGCUUCCUGGUCCAGCACCGACGUUCAGGCACGAAAGCGUGGGGAGCAAACAGG